rnacentral:misc_RNA from 1 species
AACGCAUAUUGCGCUCGAGGCUUUGGCCGAGAGCAUGUCUGCCUCAGCGUCGGGUUUAUCUCAUUCCAGAACUCAUCUGAUGAGUAACGGAAUGGAUCUGGUCGUUCCAAAACUAUUCAGUUGGUUUGGAUCGGCUGAAGAGCAGAGUGAAGAUCGAAAACCUUUCUCUCUGACCCUAAACAAGUCAUAAGAGAGGGUCGCAACUGGGCAGUGAGCGAGAAGCUGCAAAGCUUCUCCCCCUUUGCUAGUUGUUGGCUUACAGGGCUUCGAUGACGCUUCACAAAUACCAGGAGAGGGAAGUGCUUGUUCUUUCAUAGGAUGCGCACGACUCUUACACCCACACUUAUCCUCGACCUGAGCUCAGGCAAGAACACCCGCUGAACUUAA